rnacentral:rRNA from 1 species
UACGUAGGUGGCAAGCGUUUUCCGGAUUUAUUGGGUUUAAAGGGUGCGUAGGUGGUCUUUUAAGUCAGUGGUGAAAUACGGCAGCUCAACUGUCGAGGUGCCAUUGAUACUGGGAGACUUGAGUACUGAUGAGGUAGGCGGAAUGGACGGUGUAGCGGUGAAAUGCUUAGAGAUCGUCCAGAACACCGAUAGCGAAGGCAGCUUACUAAGGAGUAACUGACACUGAGGCACGAAAGUGUGGGGAUCAAACAGG